AAAGAUUAAGCCAUGCAUGUCUAAGUACUUGCUAUAACAAGGCGAAACCGCGAAUGGCUCAUUAAAUCAGUUAUGGUUCACUAGAUCGUACCGUUUACACGGAUAACUGUGGUAAUUCUAGAGCUAAUACGUGCAACCAGCUCGCUUCCUCGUGGAGCGAGCGCAGUUAUUAGAACAAGACCAAUCCGGCCUCGGUCGGUAAAAUGGUGACUCUGAAUAACCGAAGCGGAGCGCAUGGUCUCGUACCGGCGCCAGAUCUUUCAAGUGUCUGACUUAUCAGCUUGUUGUUAGGUUACGUUCCUAACAAGGCUAUAACGGGUAACGGGGUAUGAGGGUCCGAUACCGGA
rnacentral:rRNA from 1 species